rnacentral:rRNA from 1 species
UACAGAGGGUGCAAGCGUUAAUCGGAAUUACUGGGCGUAAAGCGUGCGUAGACGGUUAUGUAAGUCAGAUGUGAAAGCCCCGGGCUCAACUUGGGAAUUGCGCUUGGGACUGCAAGGCUAGAGUGUGUCAGAGGGGGGGUAGAAUUCCACGUGUAGCAGUGAAAUGCGUAGAGAUGUGGAGGAACACCGAUGGCGAAGGCAGCCCCCCUGGGCUGAGAUUGACGCUCAGGCACGAAAGCGUGGGGAGCGAACAGG